GACGAACGCUGGCGGCGUGCUUAACACAUGCAAGUCGAACGGAAAGGCGCUGCUUUUGUGGGGGGCUCGAGUGGAGAACGGGGGGGUAACAAGUGAGUAAUCUGCCCUUAACAUCGGGCUAACUUCAGGGAACUGGGGCUGAUACCGGGUAGGAGAUACUGCUGAAUGGUGUGGGUUGGCAAGUUUCGACGGUUGGGGAUGGAUUCGCCGCGUAUCAGCUUGGUGGUGGGGUAGUGGCUUACCAAGGCACUGACGGGUAGGGGGACCGUUAGGGGGAGCUGCCACAUUGGGUCGGAGAUGCGACCCAGACUCCUACGGGACGCAGCAGAGGAGAAUAGUGCACAAUGGGCGGAAGCCUGACGUAACGACGCGGCGUGGGGGAAACGAGCAUUCGAUUUGUAACCCACUUUCGCGUGUUAUGAAGAGUGAGUGACGGUAAUAUGGAAGAAAGCACCGGCUAACUACGUG
rnacentral:rRNA from 1 species